rnacentral:tmRNA from 1 species
GGGGGCGUUCUUUGGAUUCGACGGGGAUAGUUCGGGCAUGAGUAGCGGGUAGUGGGGACGCGUCCACUUCAUCAACGCUAAAGCCAUAAUAACUGGCAAACAACAAACUUCUUACGCUGUAGCAGCUUAAUAACCUGCACGCGUGCUCUCGCUCUGUAUCGCCCAUGUACCGGGAUGAGGGCUCAACUUUAGUGGGAUACGCUGUCACAUCUCCGCCUGGGGUGUGCUGAAGAAGACAAUCAGGCUGGGCAUAGCGAAAGCCGGUUACGGGGCGUUUGCUUUGCCGACAUUAAAACUGUAACUACACCCGUAGAAACUUGUGUUGUCGUUAUCUUCGGACAGGGGUUCGACUCCCCUCGCCUCCA